GGUUAAGCGACUAAGCGUACACGGUGGAUGCCCUGGCAGUCAGAGGCGAUGAAGGACGUGCUAAUCUGCGAAAAGCGUCGGUAAGGUGAUAUGAACCGUUAUAACCGGCGAUGUCCGAAUGGGGAAACCCAGUGCAAUUCGUUGCACUAUCGUUAACUGAAUACAUAGGUUAACGAGGCGAACCGGGGAACUGAAACAUCUAAGUACCCCGAGGAAAAGAAAUCAACCGAGAUUCCCCAGUAGCGGCGAGCGAACGGGGAGCAGCCCAGAGUCUGAAUCAGCUUGUGUGUUAGUGGAACGGUCUGGAAAGUCCGACGGUACAGGGUGAUAGUCCCGUACACCAAAAUGCACAGGCUGUGAACUCGAAGAGUAGGGCGGGACACGUGGUAUCCUGUCUGAAUAUGGGGACCAUCCUCCAAGGCUAAAUACUCCUGACUGACCGAUAGUGAACCAGUACCGUGAGGGAAAGGCGAAAAGAACCCCGGCGAGGGAGUGAAAAGAACCUGAAACCGUGUACGUACAAGCAGUGGGAGCACCUUCGGGUGUGACUGCGUACCUUUGUAUAAUGGGUCAGCGACUUAUAUUCUGUAGCAAGGUUAACCGUAUAGGGAGCCGCAGGAAACCGAGUCUUAACUGGGCGUUAAGUUGCAGGGUAUAGACCCGAAACCCGGUGAUCUAGCCAUGGGCAGGUUGAAGGUUGGGUAACACUAACUGGAGGACCGAACCGACUAAUGUUGAAAAAUUAGCGGAUGACUUGUGGCUGGGGUGAAAGGCCAAUCAAACCGGGAGAUAGCUGGUUCUCCCGAAAGCUAUUUAGGUAGCGCCUCGUGAAUUCAUCUUCGGGGUAGAGCACUGUUUCGGCUAGGGGUCAUCCCGACUUACCAACCCGAUGCAAACUACGAAUACCGAAGAAUGUUAUCACGGGAGACACACGGCGGGUGCUAACGUCCGUCGUGAAGAGGGAAACAACCCAGACCGCCAGCUAAGGUCCCAAAGUCAUGGUUAAGUGGGAAACGAUGUGGGAAGGCACAGACAGCCAGGAUGUUGGCUUAGAAGCAGCCAUCAUUUAAAGAAAGCGUAAUAGCUCACUGGUCGAGUCGGCCUGCGCGGAAGAUGUAACGGGGCUAAACCAUGCACCGAAGCUGCGGCAGCGACACUAUGUGUUGUUGGGUAGGGAGCGUUCUGUAAGCCUGCGAAGGUGACCUGUGAGGGUUGCUGGAGGUAUCAGAAGUGCGAAUGCUGACAUAAGUAACGAUAAAGCGGGUGAAAAGCCCGCUCGCCGGAAGACCAAGGGUUCCUGUCCAACGUUAAUCGGGGCAGGGUGAGUCGACCCCUAAGGCGAGGCCGAAAGGCGUAGUCGAUGGGAAACAGGUUAAUAUUCCUGUACUUGGUGUUACUGCGAAGGGGACGGAGAAGGCUAUGUUAGCCGGGCGACGGUUGUCCCGGUUUAAGCAUGUAGGCUGGUUAUCCAGGCAAAUCCGGAUAAUCAAGGCUGAGGUGUGAUGACGAGGCACUACGGUGCUGAAGUAACAAAUGCCCUGCUUCCAGGAAAAGCCUCUAAGCAUCAGGUAACAUCAAAUCGUACCCCAAACCGACACAGGUGGUCAGGUAGAGAAUACCAAGGCGCUUGAGAGAACUCGGGUGAAGGAACUAGGCAAAAUGGUGCCGUAACUUCGGGAGAAGGCACGCUGGUGUGUAGGUGAAGUCCCUGCGGAUGGAGCUGAGACCAGUCGAAGAUACCAGCUGGCUGCAACUGUUUAUUAAAAACACAGCACUGUGCAAACACGAAAGUGGACGUAUACGGUGUGACGCCUGCCCGGUGCCGGAAGGUUAAUUGAUGGGGUUAUCCGUAAGGAGAAGCUCUUGAUCGAAGCCCGGUAAACGGCGGCCGUAACUAUAACGGUCCUAAGGUAGCGAAAUUCCUUGUCGGGUAAGUUCCGACCUGCACGAAUGGCGUAAUGAUGGCCAGGCUGUCUCCACCCGAGACUCAGUGAAAUUGAACUCGCUGUGAAGAUGCAGUGUACCCGCGGCAAGACGGAAAGACCCCGUGAACCUUUACUAUAGCUUGACACUGAACAUUGAGCCUUGAUGUGUAGGAUAGGUGGGAGGCUUUGAAGCGUGGACGCCAGUCUGCGUGGAGCCAACCUUGAAAUACCACCCUUUAAUGUUUGAUGUUCUAACGUUGGCCCCUGACCGGGGUUGCGGACAGUGUCUGGUGGGUAGUUUGACUGGGGCGGUCUCCUCCCAAAGCGUAACGGAGGAGCACGAAGGUUAGCUAAUCCUGGUCGGACAUCAGGAGGUUAGUGCAAUGGCAUAAGCUAGCUUGACUGCGAGCGUGACGGCGCGAGCAGGUGCGAAAGCAGGUCAUAGUGAUCCGGUGGUUCUGAAUGGAAGGGCCAUCGCUCAACGGAUAAAAGGUACUCCGGGGAUAACAGGCUGAUACCGCCCAAGAGUUCAUAUCGACGGCGGUGUUUGGCACCUCGAUGUCGGCUCAUCACAUCCUGGGGCUGAAGUAGGUCCCAAGGGUAUGGCUGUUCGCCAUUUAAAGUGGUACGCGAGCUGGGUUUAGAACGUCGUGAGACAGUUCGGUCCCUAUCUGCCGUGGGCGCUGGAGAAUUGAGGGGCUGCUCCUAGUACGAGAGGACCGGAGUGGACGCAUCACUGGUGUUCGGGUUGUCAUGCCAAUGGCACUGCCCGGUAGCUAAAUGCGGAAGAGAUAAGUGCUGAAAGCAUCUAAGCACGAAACUUGCCCCGAGAUGAGUUCUCCUGAGACUUUAAGUCUCCUGAAGGAACGUUGAAGACGACGACGUUGAUAGGCCGGGUGUGUAAGCGCAGCGAUGCGUUGAGCUAACCGGUACUAAUGAACCGUGAGGCUUAACCUU
rnacentral:rRNA from 1 species